UUUAGCUAAAACCAAAUAUUCUUUUAGAGAGAGAGAGUGCCCUGGAGUGGGAAAUUGUCCCUCAUAAAUUUUUCUUCAAUUCUUGCUCAAAUCUUGAAUGAUUAACAAGAAAAAACACACUAUAUCUUCAUCCUUAAGGUAAGAUUCUACACCCUAACCCUUAAUUUCGAAUCUUAGCUGAAGAUGUGUAUUUAUCAAGAAAGUUUGUGGGUAUUGGAAUUGUUAUCUUGCUUGCAUAUGUUUUCAAAGGGUGUAGGAACAUUGUUGAGCUAAAAAUGGUAAAGUAUGAGUUUUGGGUUGAUGAAAUCCUUUAUAAAAGGACCAUAAAGAUUUAACGCACACAUAGUGUUUGAUGAAAUGCUAAAUGAGCUAGAAUUAUGAUCAUCCUUCUAAUAUGGCUAAAAUUGUUAUAUUAUCAAAAUAGAUUGAGGUUGCUAAGAAUUUCGGAAUAUUUUAGAGUUUAAGUAAACUCAAUUGAGGUAUGUAUGGCUAACUUUACCUCUUGUAUAAUCUUCUUGUUGUGACGAGCAUACGGUGUGUGUACCUUGUAUAAAAGUAUGUGUAUUUAUUGUCAUAGUUGAUUUAUACAACAUCGUAUUAUAUGUGAUUGUGAAAAGUGAUUUGAUGUUCCUACUGUAUUAUGUGCAAAGUUUGUUAAUGCUUGAGGAUGUCGUCAUAGAAGUAUGCAUUAACGAAUGAAAGAAUAUUAAUGUCCAAAUGUGGGAAUGUGUAUAAUGGCUAAAAACCCUAUGUGGUAAGUAAUGAAAGAGGGUAUUGUGAAAUGACAUAAAUGAGUUGAACAAUUACGACAACACCUUGUACAUGAAUUACUGCUUGGUGACAGUUAUGGUGCCUUGGGCCCAAAUGUAUGAAUGGUUGAUAUGAAAUUGUAUUUCCUUGAAAUGAUGAUUCUUGUGAUGUAUUGUCUGUGGUUAUGAUUACAAAAUGUGAUUGUCCGGUGGGAUCAGAUUGCGUGCCGCAAUACGAAGUUAUAAGGUGUGGAUUGUGGUGAUAAGGGUGGCUGAGGUAAUAAGGGUGGCCAAGAUAAUAAGGGUGACAAAGUGAUCGAAAUCACUAUUGAAAUGAAAAUAUGUGAAAGAUGUGAAAACAUUGAUGUGAUGAAGUAAUGUUAAAAGGGGGAAAGGAGAGAUUAUGAAACUUGUUUGGCUUUGGUUGUUUCUUUCAUGUGCAUUUAAUUGUUGAUUCUAUUACUGUUUAUUACCUAUGUAUUGGUGGAUUUUACUUGGGGUAACAUUUGUUCAUAUAUACCAGUAUAAUUCAAAUGUACCGACGCCCUUUUUUCCGGGGGCGCUACAUUCGUGUUGUGAUUGUAGGUGGUUCUACAACAUGUACUCCAGUCCACCGAUAGUAGCACCACCUCCACUUUUCUUCAGCUGUAUUGGUGAGCCUCUUUCCUCUCAGGGCCAUGCGUGGCUUAUGGUGCUUUUCUUCUCGGAGUCUAAUUUUGGUAUUUGUGUAAGGUAUAGCCAGAGCCUUGUUACCGGCAUUUCCAUAUUACAUUACUCUUCAGUUAUGUUUAGACGCUCCGUAGACAGGUUGUGGGUAGUGUUGUAUAUUGGAAAUAAAGUAAAGAUAAUCAUGUUUGGCAAGUAUUCAUAACAACUUGUAAUAUUUUGAUAAUUAUAAAUGAAGUUGCUAAUGGAAGUGAAAUAGA
rnacentral:lncRNA from 1 species